CACGUAGGGGGCAAGCGUUGUCCGGAUUUAUUGGGCGUAAAGAGCUCGUAGGCGGUUUGAUAAGUCGGGUGUGAAACCUCCAGGCUCAACCUGGAGACGCCACCCGAUACUGUCGUGACUAGAGUCCAGUAGGGGAGCGUGGAAUUCCUGGUGUAGCGGUGAAAUGCGCAGAUAUCAGGAGGAACACCAGCGGCGAAGGCGGCGCUCUGGGCUGGCACUGACGCUGAGGAGCGAAAGCGUGGGUAGCGAACAGG
rnacentral:rRNA from 1 species